rnacentral:lncRNA from 10 species
CGGUAAGCAGACCGAAGCCCAGAGAGAUGAAGCAAUUUGCCCAAAGUCACAUACCAAGUUAACUGAAGAGUUGGGGUUAGAAUCCAGCUCUUGUGACUUCUCUCUUUUCAGUUUCCCUUCCCACUCCCCCCACUGAAAAGCUUUUGAGUGACUCUUUUAGAAAUCCCGGUUCUGUAUAUGAAGCAGAAUUGAGCACAGCUGCUCUAAUGAAGGGCUCAGAGCUCCCAGGCUUUUCUCUCUCCCCUGCCCCUUUUCCCUGUUGCACCUCUGCAGUGUCCUGAGGGUUGAUGGAAUCUAGUUUGAAAGCUAUUGCUCUACCUCACUGCCUCCUGAAUGCAAUGUCACAAAUUUUCCCAACUUGCCAUUUCUCUCACACUGACAUAAAGCAUUAGAAACCUGUUGUGAAGUAGGAAAGCUAACUGGGUCAGUAGCUGAUAAGAUAAUCUGGCCUAGGGGAUAGAUGAUUAGGAUUUCAGAGAAGGAAAGG